rnacentral:rRNA from 1 species
GAGAGAGACAUGCGCGCAUAUCAAUAAGCGGAGGAAAAGAAACUAACAAGGAUUCCCCUAGUAACGGCGAGUGAAGCGGGAAGAGCUCAAAUUUGAAAUCUUAAAGGGUUUCCCUUUACGAAUUGUAGUUUAAAGAAGUGUUUUCCGUUGAGGUUUUGGUAAAAGUUCUUUGGAAUAGGACAUCAUAGAGGGUGAGAAUCCCGUAUUUGACCUUUACUUUCAACUUUGUGAUACACUUUCAAAGAGUCGGAUUGUUUGGGAAUGCAGUCCAAAAUGGGUGGUAAAUUUCAUCUAAAGCUAAAUAUUGGCGAGAGACCGAUAGCGAACAAGUACCGUGAGGGAAAGAUGAAAAGAACUUUGAAAAGAGAGUUAAACAGUACGUGAAAUUGUCAAAAGGGAAGCGUUUGACACCAGUGUUGUUUUUCUGAAAAUCAAUUAAAGAACUGUUUAUGCUAAGUUGUUUAGACUUUAUCAGCUAACUGUUUAGUUUUGAGCUUUUCUUUAAUGCACUUUUCAGUUAACAAGUCAACAUCAAUUUCUUUUGCUGUAAAAAAGCUUGAGGAAGGUGGCUUGAGAUUCGUCUUAAGUGUUUAUAGCCUCUUGCCUAUGCAGUCGGAGAGAUUGAGGUCUGCAGCGUAGAUCCUUCGGGGCUAAAUGCAUUUGUGCUAAGUUAUAGCAUUUUAUAGACAACUUGUUGACUAUGAUUUGUCUUGUAGCUUACUCGCUUAUGUUAUUUUACCUACGCUUAGGAUGUUGACGCAUGAGAUAUACGC